rnacentral:rRNA from 1 species
UACGGAGGGCGCAAGCGUUGUUCGGAAUCACUGGGCGUAAAGCGCGUGUAGGCGGCUUUGCAAGUCGGGUGUGAAAUCCCGAGGCUCACCCUCGGAACUGCACUCGAUACUGCUUGGCUAGAGUCCCGGAGAGGGUGGCAGAAUUCCCCGUGUAGGGGUGAAAUCCGUAGAUAUCGGGAGGAACAUCAGUGGCGAAGGCGGCCACCUGGACGGUGACUGACUCUGAGAUGCCACUUCAUAGGGAGGAUUUAGG